UGGAUUAGGCAUGCAAGUCGAGCGAGGAAACUUGUAGCAAUAUGAGUUAUUCGAGCGGCGUAAGGGGCAGUAAUACCUGGGAACGUACCCUGAGGUUGGGGAUAGCUGCUAGAAAUGGCGAGUAAUACCCGAUGAUCUCGAGAGAGCAAAGGCUUGCCGCCUUCGGAGCGGCCCAGGCGAUAUUAGCUAGUUGGUGAGGUAAUGGCUUACCAAGGCAAAGAUGUCUAGCGGGUGUGAGAGCACGACCCGCGCCACUGGCACUGAGACACUGGCCAGACACCUACGGGUGGCUGCAGUCGAGAAUCUUCGGCAAUGAGCGCAAGCUUGACCGAGCGACGCCGCGUGCGGGAUGAAGGCCUUCGGGUUGUAAACCGCUUUGGUCCGAGAGAAAGGGCAACUUGAUCGAUCGGAGAAACAAGGACGGGCUAAGUUCGUGCCAGCAGCCGCGGUA
rnacentral:rRNA from 1 species